UACGGAGGGUGCAAGCGUUAUCCGGAUUCACUGGGUUUAAAGGGUGCGUAGGCGGGUAGGUAAGUCAGUGGUGAAAUCUUCGAGCUUAACUCGGAAACUGCCUUUGAUACUAUCUAUCUUGAAUAUUGUGGAGGUAAGCGGAAUAUGUCAUGUAGCGGUGAAAUGCUUAGAUAUGACAUAGAACACCUAUUGCGAAGGCAGCUUACUACGCAUAUAUUGACGCUGAGGCACGAAAGCGUGGGAUCAAACAGG
rnacentral:rRNA from 1 species